UGGAAAGGAAAAAAAAAAGUAACAAGGUCUCCGUAGGUGAACCUGCGGGAGGGAUCAUUACACAACAAAAAUAUGAGGGUGUGGUUUGCUGGCAACAGCGUCCGCCCCAAGUAUUUUUCACCCAUGUCUUUUGCGCACUUUUUGUUUCCUGGGCGAGUUCGCUCGCCACCAGGACCCAACCAUAAACCUUUUUUUUAUGCAGUUGCAAUCAGCGUCAGUAUAAUAAUUCAAUUUAUUAAAACUUUCAACAACGGAUCUCUUGGUUCUGGCAUCGAUGAAGAACGCAGCGAAAUGCGAUACGUAGUGUGAAUUGCAGAAUUCAGUGAAUCAUCGAAUCUUUGAACGCACAUUGCGCCCUUUGGUAUUCCAAAGGGCAUGCCUGUUCGAGCGUCAUUUGUACCCUCAAGCUUUGCUUGGUGUUGGGCGUCUUUUUGUCUCUCCCCUUGCUUGGGAGGAGACUCGCCUUAAAACGAUUGGCAGCCGACCUACUGGUUUUCGGAGCGCAGCACAAAUUUGCGCCUUCCAAUCCACGGGGCGGCAUCCAGCAAGCCUUUGUUUUCUAUAACAAAUCCACAUUUGACCUCGGAUCAGGUAGGGAACCCCG
rnacentral:rRNA from 1 species